CACAGGCUGCUGGAUCCCACCACUCUUUGAGACAAGAUCCCGUCCGGGGAGGGACCUCAGUCAGGCUGUGCGGUUUAAAGAGUCACCACUCAAGGCAUGGGAGAAGGAUGGAUGGAGCCUAUCUGGGAGCACAGGUUCGAUCCCUGGCAGCAUCUCCAGUUCAAAAAAAAAAAAAAUCACGUAGCAGCUGUGAUGUUUCUCUCCCUAUUCUCUCCCCCGCCUCCCCUGGCCACUUGUUGCUUAUCUCAUGGGAAGGAAUUGAAGAACUGCUGAGACAUUCAGUCUGUAUUAGCAAAUGAAGAUGGUUUUUUUUACACUGAAACUGUUUUGCUUUUAACUUGUAAUAUCUGGUGGAUAUUUUAUCUUUGCACAAUAAAGAGGUCUUGGUGGUAAGAACUAAGAUACAGUG